AGUUUGAUCCUGGCUCAGGACGAACGCUGGCGGCGUGCCUAAUACAUGCAAGUCGAACGAACUCUGGUAUUGAUUGGUGCUUGCAUCAUGAUUUACAUUUGAGUGAGUGGCGAACUGGUGAGUAACACGUGGGAAACCUGCCCAGAAGCGGGGGAUAACACCUGGAAACAGAUGCUAAUACCGCAUAACAACUUGGACCGCAUGGUCCGAGUUUGAAAGAUGGCUUCGGCUAUCACUUUUGGAUGGUCCCGCGGCGUAUUAGCUAGAUGGUGGGGUAACGGCUCACCAUGGCAAUGAUACGUAGCCGACCUGAGAGGGUAAUCGGCCACAUUGGGACUGAGACACGGCCCAAGCUCCUACGGGAGGCAGCAGUAGGGAAUCUUCCACAAUGGACGAAAGUCUGAUGGAGCAACGCCGCGUGAGUGAAGAAGGGUUUCGGCUCGUAAAACUCUGUUGUUAAAGAAGAACAUAUCUGAGAGUAACUGUUCAGGUAUUGACGGUAUUUAACCAGAAAGCCACGGCUAACUACGUGCCAGCAGCCGCGGUAAUACGUAGGUGGCAAGCGUUGUCCGGAUUUAUUGGGCGUAAAGCGAGCGCAGGCGGUUUUUUAAGUCUGAUGUGAAAGCCUUCGGCUCAACCGAAGAAGUGCAUCGGAAACUGGGAAACUUGAGUGCAGAAGAGGACAGUGGAACUCCAUGUGUAGCGGUGAAAUGCGUAGAUAUAUGGAAGAACACCAGUGGCGAAGGCGGCUGUCUGGUCUGUAACUGACGCUGAGGCUCGAAAGUAUGGGUAGCAAACAGGAUUAGAUACCCUGGUAGUCCAUACCGUAAACGAUGAAUGCUAAGUGUUGGAGGGUUUCCGCCCUUCAGUGCUGCAGCUAACGCAUUAAGCAUUCCGCCUGGGGAGUACGGCCGCAAGGCUGAAACUCAAAGGAAUUGACGGGGGCCCGCACAAGCGGUGGAGCAUGUGGUUUAAUUCGAAGCUACGCGAAGAACCUUACCAGGUCUUGACAUACUAUGCAAAUCUAAGAGAUUAGACGUUCCCUUCGGGGACAUGGAUACAGGUGGUGCAUGGUUGUCGUCAGCUCGUGUCGUGAGAUGUUGGGUUAAGUCCCGCAACGAGCGCAACCCUUAUUAUCAGUUGCCAGCAUUAAGUUGGGCACUCUGGUGAGACUGCCGGUGACAAACCGGAGGAAGGUGGGGAUGACGUCAAAUCAUCAUGCCCCUUAUGACCUGGGCUACACACGUGCUACAAUGGAUGGUACAACGAGUUGCGAACUCGCGAGAGUAAGCUAAUCUCUUAAAGCCAUUCUCAGUUCGGAUUGUAGGCUGCAACUCGCCUACAUGAAGUCGGAAUCGCUAGUAAUCGCGGAUCAGCAUGCCGCGGUGAAUACGUUCCCGGGCCUUGUACACACCGCCCGUCACACCAUGAGAGUUUGUAACACCCAAAGUCGGUGGGGUAACCUUUUAGGAACCAGCCGCCUAAGGUGGGACAGAUGAUUAGGGUG
rnacentral:rRNA from 1 species